rnacentral:misc_RNA from 1 species
GCACCGAAGUGCUGGAAGCCGAAGAAUUCUUCUCCGAAGGCCAGAAGGGUUCGUCGGCGAUGCCGCACAAGCGCAACCCGGUGCUGACGGAAAACCUCACCGGCCUCGCGCGCAUCGUUCGCUCCGCCGUGACACCCGCGCUGGAGAAUGUCGUGCUCUGGCAUGAGCGCGACAUCUCGCACUCGUCUGUCGAGCGCAUGAUCGGUCCCGACGCCACGGUGACGCUGGACUUCGCGCUCAACCGCCUCGCCGGCGUUGUCGAAAAGC